GCCUGCCUACGACUACAGAGUACAGACUACGGCGGAUCGACUCCUCUCCCCUCAGAAAAUUACUAAUUCCCAUGCCUCAGCUACAGACAGCGCCGGAUCCUCUCCUCUCCGCUCGAGAAAAUAACUAAUUGCCCCUGCCUCACAGUGAUCUCCAGCCAAUCUUCAUGUGAAGGUCGCUCCUCACGUACGUCUGCUAGCCAGCGAUCCCCAUCAAAUCUCGGCUUGAAUCCCGCUCAUCCCGCAUGGCCACCGGUCUUCAUCGCCAUCGACACCACCCUGGGAGCUAGGGCGCAUGCCCGACCUUGGUUCCAUUGCCACGCACCCCGGCCCGGGUCGUCGAGGAGCAAGCCGAUUCAACCCAUGCGCAUGUUUGUCGAUCUCCUUAGGCAUGCCCUUUGGAUGCUGAGACUUGGGACGCGGGUUGUUCGUUGUUUAGUGGCCGGCCGCCCAGAUCCUUAGAUCAUCGAGCAGGGAACUAUCGAUGGAGCCUCUGUCCGCUAUUGUUCUGCUCCACGACCGUUGCCGGUGGCGAGGAGUCCGGCUUGAUCAGCGACGUCCCCCAUGACAACACCUUCAGGUUAAAUUUUUGCCUCGACUCUAAUGGAAAGCUUCUACUGGGUGAGGAUGGUGACCUACGAUCUAAGCUGGCCACACUUUGGAAUUGGAGGUACUGGACGAAUUGGAUGCCCGCCCAGUGAUCUUGGUUGUUCUUCCCUUGCAAAAUACACAAACGCCUCAGAUUUACACCUCCUAUAGGUUGAACUUCCUUAGGCGCUCGACGACUGGACACCAUGGCAGCCAUCUUGGUUGUUCAACCCAUGAUGUAUACCCAGGCGCUUCAGAUUUACCACUCCUGCCACACAUCUAUCACCAGCUGGUCCAUAUAGAGGAGGAGAUAAGGGCGUGGGGUGCUCUUCUUGGAAGACGGUUAGCGGAGCGUGGAAUUAUAGUCGCUUGCAUUGAUUAUAGAAAUUUGCCCCAAGGAACAAUAAGUGACAUGGUCAGUGAUGCUUUUGAGGCAUUUUCAUUUAUUUGUGAUACUAUUGCUAGCUAUGGAGGAGAUCCUAAUCAGAACUAUGCGCCGCACUUGAAUAUUUGAUCCUUUUGGGCGGUGAUUCUAUCCAAAGUCGUCGUUGUGACGUCGGUGAGCAACCUCGGGCACCACACUGAGUGCUACCGCCUCCCCACCACUCAUGACGCCAGGCUGUUCUACUUCUUCGAAUUCAGGUGGCACAAGGAGGACCCAGUGGUGAUCUGGCUGAUGGGAAGGCCCGGCUACUGCAGCGAGCUAGCCCUCUUCUACGAGAACGGCGCCUUCCACAUAGCAGACAACAUGUCGCUACUCUAGAAUGAGUUUGGUUGGGAUCAGCGACUGGUGGCGCUGGGUGCGCUUGCUUACUUUGUCGCGCAACUUCUUUGAUCACCGCGUAGAACCUGACCUGGGUGUUGCAGCUCUGUCCGUGGUGGUCUCAUGGAUGUAGUGGUGACACCUCUCCUAGUAUACAUGUCCAAAAUCAUUAUUUUGUGGGAAUUCUCGCAGACUUUGCCUUUGUUCCGGGAGGCGUGCAACGACGGCAUGAAGAACAACAUCGAGACCAUACGUUCGGUUUCUCUGUGCCCGCUCUGCUGCCAUCCACACCCGCACUAUCCCAGCUCGUGUGCCGGCUCGAGGAGAAGCUCAGGCCGCCACCACACAAAGGGAGAGGAACCCAAGAAGAAUCUAUCCCGCCUUACUGUCCAUGACCCGACGACAGAGACAGCUACUUCGAGCCUAGGCUCGUCGGUGGGGCAGUGCAAGGCGUAACUCCGACGUGGUUCCUCGCCGGUUGGACGGUGUUCAGGCGCAACCCGGUGCCCACUGAGUACUGCCUCGGCUACAACCUCCCUUGGUGAGCUCCAUCUUCCUCCUGCUCAUAUGCUUCGGCUACUGCAUUGGACAUGGCCGUGGCUAUAUUGAUGUGGUGCUCGUCUGGUUGAUGCUCUAUUCCCUGCUCAUGCAUCGGUUCCUACUUGAGCUCUUUAGUUGUAGAUGCAUGCUAUUCUAGGGUUUGCAGGCUGAGUUCAUGUUUGGUUUCUAUAAUAGGAGUUCCUGCGAUGAUCUGGUUUACAUGUGGAUGCUCUGUUUGUAUAGUUAUGCUCCUGGAUUUGCUAAAUUGACCAGUAGUGUUCGUGCUAGGGCGAUGAUGAUCAACCUGUCAGACCCAGGUGGUCUGAAGCAUGGAAUUCAGUAAAACAGAGACUGAACUAGUGGAGUUUAGCUUGAAUUUCAGAGGAAUGAUUAGCGAGUCUAGCUCGUUACAGAGGUUCUAGCCGACCAGGAACACUGGCGGCGGCAAGGGGGAAACCCUAACAAAAAAGAUACCUAACCUCGAUCCCAACUCCUGGCUUUAUAGCCUUACAAAGGGAAGGAAAAAGAAGAGCAAAAGCAAAACAGAAAGGAGAGAAACGUUGCGGUCUUUGCCGGAAAGGGAACAGCGACCUCCAGGGCAGUCCCCGCCACACGAUGAAGAUCGGACGCUCGUCGGGUCAUCAUAACUGGUGAAGCGGUACGACGACGUCUCGGCCGUGCGAUCGAAGAUGUGUGGCUCCUGACGUUUCCCGCCUGUUCGGACGGGUUUGAAUUAACUGAAUCCUAUUUGCAGCGAUCGGAUCUUCAGACAGAGGCACUCGGGUCCUGACAACUCCCCCCCUUCCAGAUCAGACCUGUCCUCAGGGCUGGAAAUUAGGAAACACUUUUUGUAUGAAUGUGGCGUCCUCCCAAGUGGCCUCCUCCAGAGGUAGAUUACUCCAUUUGAUGAGCCAUCGAACCACGGGGAUACUGAUGUUGCCUUGCACACGCGGUACCAGUUUGCGUUCGAGCAGUUGUUCUGGUUCUAGUAAGAUUGUUCCAUCCGGGUUGAGCAAGGGGAGCUUGGGGUUUGGAAUCGCCAUUGGGCCAAUAUGCUUCUUGAGCUGGCUCACAUGAAAAGUAUCAUCCAGUUUGCAAUCGUCGGGAAGAAGGAGCUUGUAAGCCAUUGUACCAACUUUCAGGAUAACUCUGAAUGGGCCAUAAAAUUUGGAAUGCAACUUGAGACAUCUAUGGAUAUUGAGAGUGGUAUGCCUGUAAGGUUGUAGUUUUAGGUAUACCAUGUCACCAACUUCCAAUGUUCUCUCAGAUCUCUUCUUGUCGGCGUAAUGUUUCAUUCUGGCUUGAGCCCUCAAGAGGUGUUCUUUAAUAUGUGCUGCGGUUUGUUCAGCAGUGAGUACAUCAGGGAACUGUUCCAGUUCUUCCACAGGAUAAAGAGCAGAUUCAGCAACAUAUGAGGAGGUCUGCCAUACAAGGCUUGGAAUGGGGUGAUCUUGAGAGCUGUGUGAUAGCUAGUGUUGUACCACCACUCUGCUAGGGAUAACCAGUUGAGCCACUUUUGUGGUUGGAUGAAAGCCAUGCAUCUGAGAUAAUUUUCCAAGCAUUGGUUAACUCUCUCUGUCUGACCAUCAGACUGAGGGUGGUACGAAGUGCUCAUGUGUAAUUUUAUUCCCAACUUCUUGAACAAGUCCUGCCAGAGCUUGCUAGUGAAGAUUUUGUCUCUGUCAGUGACAAUCACAGCUGGUAACCCAUGGAGUUUGAAGAUGUUAUCAGUGAAAGCCUUAGCUACAAUAUUAGCUGUAAUGGGGUGUUUCAUUGGGAUAAAGUGGUUGUAUUUAGUGAACCUGUCCACCACAACCAAAAUCAUGUUCUUGUUGUGAGAAGUAGGAAGACCUUCCAUAAAAUCCAUGCUUAUGUGGCACCAGGCAAAGUCUGGGACUGGCAGAGGUUGGAGCAGCCCAGGGUACUUGCAGUGUUCAGCUUUGUUUAUUUGACAGGUUGGGCAUUGUUUAAUAUAGUCAACAACAAAUUGCUUCAUGCCAGGCCAAUGGAAGAGAAGCUUAACUCUUUGGUAUGUAGCUCUUUGACCAGAAUGGCCACCAAGUUCAGAGCUAUGUAAAGCAGCUAGCAAUUUAGUUCUGAUGGUAUUAUCAGCUCCAAUGACAAUUCUAUUUUUGUAUCUGAGCACACCCUGUUGCACAGUGUAGUUGGGCACAGAAUCAGGGUUUAUAGUUAGUUGAGCUAGGAGAUCCUUGCAUAUUUGGUCAUUCUUGUAGCUGUCAACAACUUCAGUUACCCAGGCAGGUUUGACAGUAGAAGCAAUUAGAGCAUGAAUUUUGUGGUGCACCCUGGAAAGGGCAUCAACCACUUUAUUUUUCUUGCCCUGCUUGUACUCCACAGUGUAAUUGUAGCCAAGGAGUUUGACCAGAAGCUUGUGCUGAAUCCUCGGUAAGUUUUUGUUCUUGUAUAUAUUUUAAACUCUGUUGAUCAGUUCUAUUAUGAGAGAGGAUGCAGCAAAAUAAUGUUUCCAGUGCUUGAGAGCUUCAAUAAUUGCUAAAGCUUUCUUGUCAUAAGUGGAAUAUGCAGCUGCUCUAGGGCCAAUUGCUUUACUGAAAAAGGAAAUAGGUCUCCCCUCUUGCAUUAGAACUGCACCCAGUCCAUAGGCACAAGCAUCUGUUUCCAAGAUGAAAGGCUUGGAGAAGUCUGGUAGGGCCAACACUGGGGCUUGUGUCAUUUUGUUCUUCAGGGUAUUGAAAGCUUGAACUUGCUCUUGCCCCCAAGUGAAACUGUCCUUUUUCAGGGAGUUAAACAGUGGCCUGCAAAUGAGUCCAUACUUUUCCACAAAUCUUCUAUAGUAACUUGUCAACCCUAAAAAGCUCCUGAGCUGUGUGACAUUUUCAGGUUCUGGCCAUUGUUGUACAACCUGAAUUUUGACUGGGUCAGUUGCAACUCCAUCAGCCCUAAUAACAUGUCCCAAGUACUCCACCUGAGGCUGAGCAAAGACACAUUUGCUUGCUUUAAUAUACAGCUGGUGUUCCUUGAGAGUUUCAAAUACCUGUUGCAAGUGGAUUAUGUGCUCCUUCAUAUUUUUAUUGAACACCAAAAUAUCAUCAAAGAAUACUAGUACAAAUUUUCUGAGAUACUUGGCUAAGAUAGUAUUCAUGAGCAUUUGGAAAGUUGCAGGAGCAUUGGUUAAACCAAAGGGCAUAACCAAGUAUUCAUAGUGCCCACAGUGAGUGCUAAAAGCAGUUUUCUCAAUAUCCUCUUCCUUCAUUCUGAUCUGAUGGUAUCCACUUCUGAGAUCAAGCUUAGUGAAAACAGUGGCUCCAUGCAAUUCAUCCAACAAAUCCUCAAUAACAGGGAUGGGGUAUUUGUUUUUGAUAGUCUGAGUAUUGACCUUUCUGAAGUCAUUGCAAAGUCUCCAGGAUAGAUCUUUCUUUUUCACCAAAAUUGCAGGAGAGGAGUAAGGACUUGAACUAUCUUUGAUUACCUUAUUUUUAAUCAUUUCCUGAAUGAUAUUUCCCAUAGCUUCCUUUUGGUGAUAAGGUAAUCUGUAUGGCCUUUGGUUUAUAACUUUUGCACCAGAUUCAAAAGGAAUUGCAUGAUCAACAUUUCUCUUAGGAGGUAAAUCAGUAGGAGUUCCAAAAAUAUCCUUGUACUGACCUAGAAGUUCUUGGACAGGUAGGGGAACAACAGUGUCCUCAUGUUCUGUCAGAGCAAUUUUGUUUAGUAGCAACACAGCCCCACAGAUAGUGUCAUCAGAUAAGUGCUCCAUGCUGUCCAUUUCUUGAACUGGCUCACUGGGUAAGCUUUCAUCCUUGAAGAUUUUCUUUUCUCCUGAUUUCAGUGUGACUUGCACUUCCAUUUCCUCAAAAUCUAGCUGGACAGGACUAACAGUUUUCAUCCAAUCAGCUCCCAAUAUCACAUCAUAACCUUGCAACUGUAGGACUCGGAAAUCAUGGGAAAAUUUAGUUCCUUGCACCACAAAAGGGCACUGGGUGGCAAUGAAUUCAGUCCAUAGAGUUGCUCCAUUGGCAACUAACACUUUCUUUUUCUUAGUUGGAGUAAGAGCACACAGAGCCAGCUUUGCAAGUGCAGGAGUUACAAAUGUUGCGGUGCUGCCACUGUCAAUGAGGUCAGUUGCAGGUCUGUCUCCCAACAUGACUGUAACAGUGAAACUCAGCUUGGAGGAAGUGACUCCCAUGAGGGCAUGCAUGGAGAUUUGCAAGGGAGUGUCAUCCAAGUCAGUGGGAGGUGGAGCUUCAGUAUCAUCAGCAGUGUAGUAGACCAGUUCUGCAUCCUCAGGGCAGGUCUCUUGCAAGGCUUGUAUCUGCAUUUGAUUUGCCAAUUUGCAAACUUUCUUGUGGCCAGGAAACCAUGGUUCUUUGCACUGGUAGCAGAUUCCUUUCAUUCUGGCCCGUUGGAUGACAGUAGGUGUGUUGUUAGGAGGUGGCUUUCCUAGGUCCAACUGAAGUUGCCUUCUAACUGGCUGAUUAAUAUAAGCCACUGGUGUUUUCUUGCUGGGCUGAGCUUGUUCCAUUCUUCUGGCCAACCAGAUAGCUUUUUGUAGGUCUGCUGGUUCAUGACAUUGAACAUAAUGUUGGAUAGUGUCACUCAGACCAGCAAUGAAACUAGCUUUCUAAUAAUCAACAGGCAGUGCAGGGUUGUCCCUCCUGAGUAAGUUCAUGGACUGUUCAAACUUGAGCACAUAGUCAUUAACAGACCCAGUUUGGUUGAGAGCAUGAAAAGUUCUGACAUUGUCACAUACUGAAGUUUCGGAAAACCUGUCUCCAAUCAGUCUACAGAACCUGUACCAGGGUAGGGUAUUGGCAAUAAUUCCAGUUCCUCUCCACCACUCUAUUGCUGGCCCCUUUAAGUGACAGCAAUUUCAGUUUUCUGCUCCAGUGGUGUCCUAGCAGCUUCAAAGUACAUUUCAAUGGUUUGGAUCCAAGAGUCAGUUCCACUGCCAUCAAACUCCGGUAUGUUAUACUUAGCAGGUUUCACCAAAGUCAGAGGUCUUCUGUUGUCUUGGACUUGAUCUCUCUGUGCAUUGCCCCCUUUGCCAGCUAUUUGCUGAACCUGCUCCUCAGCUUGCUCUUGUUCUAACUGAGUGAUUUGUUGCAUGUUUCCUAUUUUAGGAAUUGCAGUAGUUGCUCUGGCAUUAGGUGGGAGAAGUUUGUUGUCCGCAAAGUGGGGGUGCCUGUACGAAAUUUUGGUGCUGCCAUCCAAGUUAAGUUCUUUUCCAGUGUGCUUAUCCACCAAAGUUACAGAGCCUGCAGUAGGAGGGGUUUGGAGGCCAUCGACUGGCCGAAGCACUGGGCCUUGUGGUGUAUGAUUUUGUCCACUGCCUUGAGGGAUAUCUUGGGAAUGGGUGGGGUUUCAUGUGGUUUUGGAAAUCUAGAGAUAAAUUUGUUAAGUGUGCCCUGUAAUUCCCCCAAAGACUUCUGCAUUGACUGGAAGUUGUCUUGCACAUGGUCCCUGAAGUCCUUGAAGUCCUGUCUGUCCUGCUCUCGAUUUCUCAUAGCACUUGCUGCAACCCGACCUUGACCGUAGAUCCUGCCGCCGCCUGCACCGCCGCCGUCAGCUACACUGCCGCCAAGAUUGUCCGGUGGGAAGUGAAGGAUUUUAUGGCUCCUCCAACUCCACCGCCGCCAAGCAUAGAAUUCAGUAAAACAGAGACUGAACUAGUGGAGUUUAGCUUGAAUUUCAGAGGAAUGAUUAGCGAGUGUAGCUCGUUACAAAGGUUCUAGCCGACCAGGAACACUGGCGGCGGCAAGGGGGAAACCCUAACAAAAAAGAUACCUAACCUCGAUCCCAACUCCUGGCUUUAUAGCCUUACAAAGGGAAGGAAAAAGAAGAGCAAAAGCAAAACAAAAAGGAGAGAAACGUUGCGGUCUUUGCCGGAAAGGGAACAUCGACCUCCAGGGCAGUCCCCGCCACACGAUGAAGAUCGGACGCUCGUCGGGUCAUCAUAACUGGCGAAGCGGUACGACGACGUCUCGGCCGUGCGAUCGAAGAUGUGUGGCUCCUGACGUUUCCCGCCUGUUCGGACGGGUUUGAAUUAACUGAAUCCUAUUUGCAGCGAUCGGAUCUUCAGACAGAGGCACUCGGGUCCUGACAACCUUGACUGAAAUAAGUGUGCCUUUGAGCAAUCGAGGCACCCGUGGGUAUCAAGCUGGAUCCUCCCUCUUGUCUCUAGAGUCCUUUUUGAUCCUGUGAUACUUGUUGUUCUGUCCUAGGAUGGUCAUUCUUGUUGAGUGAUAACCAGGGCAGCUCCAUUGUAUAAACAGAUUGAUCUAUGAUAAAAGAUGACGGGGGUAGGUUAUAUGAUCGAGGAAAGCCGAAUUUGAGCCCACAAUGCAAUGAACCCUGAACUAUUUUUAUUUGUACUUAAAGGUGUUACUUAUUUAUGCUCUGAUGGCUUUCGUGCUGGGGCGAUGAUGAUUAGCCGUGUCUGAAAUAAGUGUGCCUUCGAGCAAUCGAGGCACAUGUGGGUAUCAAGUUGAAUCCUCCCUCUUGUCUCUAGAAUCCUUUUUGAUCCUGUGAUACUUGUUGCUCUGUCCUUGGAUGGUCAUUCUUGUUGAGUGAUAACCAGGGAAGCUCCACUGUAUAAAAAGAUUGAUCUGGUGAUAAGAGACGGGUGUAGGUUAUAUGAUCGAGGAAAGUCAGAUCUGAGCCCACUAUGCAAUGAACCCUGGAUCCUUUUUAUUUGUAUUUAAAGGUGUUGCUUAUUUAUGCUCUGGUGUUUAUAGUCGUCUUAUGUAAAGAUUUCUUCUCUCUCAUACCUUUAUUGCAUAUGAGUUGUUCUUGAUCUUUUAUUGUUUGUUGUUGGUCCUUGAUUUAAUCUGGUUAAGAGUAAGCUGCACUUUGUUAUACUAGAAAGACAUGCUCCCAGCAAGUUAUAGGGGCCUCUCUUGCUGCCUUAAGUUUGUAUGGUAAAGUAUGCAUCAUGUGUGCCUCUGUUUUGUUUCCCUCUUGUAUUCCUAUGUCUUGCCUCACAUAUCAUGGCACUUGAUAUAUGCAUGGUUGUUGGCGAUCGGACGCCACCACCGCCGCCGAUGCCAUCGUGGCUCUUGCCGCCGUCAAACAUUAAGCUUGAGUCUCAGUUUGAUCUUACGGUUCUACGGCUCAAAGGUUGAUGACUGCCAUGAGGCACUACCCAGUUAAAUCUUCGUCCAAGCUGACAACAAUCCUCUUGGUCUUAAUUAUUUUUUCGAGGCGGCAGGGAUCAAAGAAUAACAGAUCUGGGUCUUCGCCUUCCAAGAUUAGAAGGGGGAAACCAUCGCUCACUGUCCAUAUGCUUUAAAAGCAAAUCUCAAGUGCAUUGCCUAUACAAAAAUAAUUUUGUGGUCAUCUAUAUCACAAACUAUUCACAUCAAGUUCAUAUGGAAUGGCACUCACGGAGGCAAUUGAGCCAAGCUAUCUAUUGUAUGCCUAACUAUGGCUUCGUAGUUUUAUUGCCUCCAUUGCCAUUGUUGGCCUUUUCUUUCUUAUGUUUCUGCUCAUAUUACUGAACUUAAUGUUAACUAAUUAGUUUUUCUAUUCGUAUGACCGUAGUGGAUGCUGCCUUGCUUCUGGCACGGGUUAACUUUGAUAGUCUCAUGCCCAUGUUUAACUUGAUGAUCGAUGUUACUCUUGUGGUACAUAUUGAAUGUUUCUUCUUA